AUACAUGCAGUCGUGCGGAUGCUUCAAGAGCUUGCUCUUUGAAGUGUUAGCGGCGGAUGGGUGAGUAACACGUGGGCAACCUGCCCUACAGAUGGGGAUAACUCCGGGAAACCGGGGCUAAUACCGAAUAAACAGUUUGUCCGCAUGGACAAGCUCUGAAAGACGGUUUCGGCUGUCACUGUAGGAUGGGCCCGCGGCGCAUUAGCUAGUUGGUGGGAUAACGGCCUACCAAGGCAACGAUGCGUAGCCGACCUGAGAGGGUGAUCGGCCACACUGGGACUGAGACACGGCCCAGACUCCUACGGGAGGCAGCAGUAGGGAAUCUUCCACAAUGGACGAAAGUCUGAUGGAGCAAUGCCGCGUGAGUGAAGAAGGUUUUCGGAUCGUAAAGCUCUGUUGUAAGGGAAGAACAAGUAUGGGAGUAACUGCCCGUACCUUGACGGUACCUUAUUAGAAAGCCACGGCUAACUACGUGCCAGCAGCCGCGGUAAUACGUAGGUGGCAAGCGUUGUCCGGAAUUAUUGGGCGUAAAGCGCGCGCAGGCGGCCUUUUAAG
rnacentral:rRNA from 1 species